GCCAGUGUGGUAUAAUGGUUUGAGCACUGAACUAUGACUCUGAAGAUGAGGGUUCGAAUCCCUGCUCAGUCA